UCGACUCCUACGGGGAGGCAGCAGUGGGGGAAUAUUGCACAAUGGGCGCAAGCCUGAUGCAGCCAUGCCGCGUGUGUGAAGAAGGCCUUCGGGUUGUAAAGCACUUUCAGUCGUGAGGAAGGUAGUGUAGUUAAUAGCUGCAUUAUUUGACGUUAGCGACAGAAGAAAGCACCGGCUAACUCCGUGCCAGCAGCCGCGGUAAUACGGAGGGUGCGAGCGUUAAUCGGAAUUACUGGGCGUAAAGCGCAUGCAGGUGGUUUGUUAAGUCAGAUGUGAAAGCCCGGGGCUCAACCUCGGAAUAGCAUUUGAAACUGGCGGACUAGAGUACUGUAGAGGGGGGUAGGAAUUUCAGGUGUAGCGGUGAAAUGCGUAGAGAUCUGAAGGAAUACCGGUGGCGAAGGCGGCCCCCUGGACAGAUACUGACACUCAGAUGCGAAAGCGUGGGGAGCAAACAGGAUUAGAUACCCUGGUAG
rnacentral:rRNA from 1 species